GUCCGCCAGAGAACUACAAGUGAAAAACUUAAAACUCAAAAGACUUGGCGGUGCCCCACACCCGACUUAGAGGAGCCUGUCCUAUAAUCGAUAAUCCACGAUAAACCCAACCACCCUUCGCCCCACCAGCCUAUAUACCGCCGUCGCAAACCUACCUCACAAGAGAAAAGCCGUAGGUUAAAUAGUAAAACACUAAAACGUCAGGUCAAGGUGUAGCUAAUGGGGUGGGAGAGAUGGGCUACAUUCUUUAAACUAAAGAACACGAAAAGAACAGUGAAACACCUUCUAAAAGGCGAAUUUAACAGUAA
rnacentral:rRNA from 1 species